AUUGAACGCUGGCGGCAUGCCUUACACAUGCAAGUCGAACGGUAACGGGCCUUCGGGUGCCGACGAGUGGCGAACGGGUGAGUAAUACAUCGGAACGUGCCCGAUCGUGGGGGAUAACGAGGCGAAAGCUUUGCUAAUACCGCAUACGAUCUACGGAUGAAAGCAGGGGACCGCAAGGCCUUGCGCGGACGGAGCGGCCGAUGGCAGAUUAGGUAGUUGGUGGGAUAAAAGCUUACCAAGCCGAUGAUCUGUAGCUGGUCUGAGAGGAUGAUCAGCCACACUGGGACUGAGACACGGCCCAGACUCCUACGGGAGGCAGCAGUGGGGAAUUUUGGACAAUGGGCGCAAGCCUGAUCCAGCCAUGCCGCGUGCAGGAUGAAGGCCUUCGGGUUGUAAACUGCUUUUGUACGGAACGAAAAGCCUUCUUUUAAUACAGGAGGGUCAUGACGGUACCGUAAGAAUAAGCACCGGCUAACUACGUG
rnacentral:rRNA from 1 species